rnacentral:tRNA from 2 species
CAAGACGUAGCUAUAACGCCCAAAGCACUCAGCUUACACCUGAGAGAUAUCUGCCACCCAUCAGAUCGUCUUGA